GCCAGGUGACAGGGCAACCCGCACCAGGGGAAGCGAAUGCAGGGAGUGGGCAGGAGGGCGGCCCUCCAGCCUUGCUGCCCUGGUGAGUUUUCACCGGUGCCCUCGGCUCACCCCACAGCAAACCCUUCUCCUGAGACCAGCUGGGGGGUCUCUAACUUAAGAGCACCCCACUGGAAAGGAAUCAGUUGCAGGGGACAGUUCUAGGUCACAGACCCUCACUGAGCAAAUGGCUUUGGCUUUGAAACAGGAUUGGGGACAGGGCGUAGAGGCCUCCCACACCCUGGAACAAGAUCUGUGUGGGCCACCCAUCAGCAGUUUAGGGACAGCCGAUGACGGAUCCCUGUGCUUUCUCCAGGGAGAAGAUAUACAGCCAAGAGAGACGAAAACCUGCGUCCACACAGAAGUCUCUAUGCAAGUGUUCAUGGCAGCAUUAUUCCUGAUGGCAGAAGACUGGAAACAACCCAACUGUCCACCAAUUGAUAAAUGUAGAAGAAAAUCAAGAAUCAGCAGCCAACAUCUCACCAUGAGAAAGGGGACAUUACCUCCGCCUCUUUUCAUUCUGUUCCAUGGUUCGAAGAUUCUUUCCCAAAGAACAGACUUAAGAAGAUAACUUUGCAAUGGGAAUU
ensembl:lncRNA